rnacentral:tRNA from 1 species
GCCUGGCUUGCUCAGUAGAGCACGUGACUCAUAAUCUCAGGGUUGUGUGAGUUCAAGCCCCACGUUGGGCC